GCAGAAAACAAAUCACUUUAAUACAUAUUCACCACAGUUGUGUGUAGACACACACACACAUAUACACACACCACAGUUCAUCCAGGGAAUAUAUUACAGUUAAAGGAGAGCAGCCUAAAGGGAUGGUUUGGGACAGACUGCAGGUGAUUACUCAUUCUCUACAGGCAGUUGAACCUCCCGAGUUGGGAUAAGUGGUAAGUGAUGGAGGGUAUGGCAAGACAAGAGAGCUCAGAGAUAAAUGAGGCGAACAGCAGCUUCUAGUGCUCCUGCAGCUCUCACACUCAUGGAAUCCUGCUGGUGGGCAGAGAAGUGUGAUCAGUAGCUUGGACAAAAAUGACAUCUUUGAUGAAACUACUAACUUGUGACACCUGGUCUCACUUUAAAUCUACACUUGCAUAACACAAGAGUAACCUAAUGGAUUUAUAGGAUGCCUUCUAAACUGACAUAUUUCAAGGCUGAAGCUUAGAAGAUAAAUGUCGGCCCUGAAGGCAAUUACUUUAGACAAUUCUAAGAGACUGAAAAGAUGCUAUGAUCACACAGUCGUGACUAUGGAGCCACGAAUUAGAGACGAUCACCCUCAUUUUCAGGCCUCCGUCUUGCUCUGACUAUGGUUUUUCUUUACUCUCUCUGUAGCUUUGCUCCAUAUUGCCCGCCUUAAAAGCAAGAGAUCCCUUGUUUGAGCUUUAUCCCAUUUAACAGACUGCCUCCUCCACACAUCCAAAGCUUACUUCAUGAUCUUGAUUCCCAGAUUCAUGUCUUCCCAAAUAUUCUCUCUCUCAGGGAAAGGAAGCACCAUAGUUCAAGCUAGAAAUCUGGGAGUCAACCUUGUCACUUCCCUUUUCCUAACCCCAACAACGAGUUCAUCACAAAAUCUAGCCAAUUCUACUUCUAAAUUAGUUUCCUAAAUUCCAUUGACAUGUCCAUCCACAAUACCGCCAACUCAAACUGCUUCAACCGCCUGUGUCAUUAUUGCAAUGGUCAUGUGUUCCUUGCUUACUCUUGCCAUCUCCAAUCUGCUUUCCAACUGCACCCAGAGUAAUUAUUUUAAAACACAAACAUUAAGCAUGUCAUUGCUGAGAGGGAAGGAUUAACUUAUCCCAGAGAGAUCCCCUAGGCCUUUUGCAAAGAUCCACGGGAACUGGGUAAGGCCCUGAGUUUAAGGCAGUCAAUCCUGGCCAACCACAGGGCUUGAGCUCUAGGCUCUUCUCACGCCAAGGAAGGGGCCAGUGCUUUCCCAAACAGGGAGAGUGAUGGCAAGAAUUCUCCUACUUACUUGCUACAUCAUAUACCUGCAAACUUUAGCGCCCUGAUCAAGUCAUAGGAGCAGCUGGUUUUACCACAAAGAAUGCUGAAUAGCUCUGGGGCCAAGUUUCUGCCUUAUAAUAUUGCUAUCAUUUUUCGGCUCUGGGUCACACAGUCCUUCCCUAGUCAUGCGGUUUCAAAGCCCCACACAUCAAGGGUAGGGUUCCUCCUGAAGUUUAGUACCUGGACUUGCUAGACCUCUGUGGCAUAUUCUAGAAUACAAGUGUACCUGUUACUGAGCCUGUCUCUAUGAGUUUAAUUUGGGGUUAAACUUUAACCCUUAAAAUGCUGUCCUAGCAGGUUUGGUGUACUCAUUUUCAUGACAAUUGCCUAGCUUAAAACUCUUCAGGUGCGCCACACUACUUUUAAGAUAAAUACCAAAAUACUUAUCAUGGCAUACAAAGCCCAGCAUGACCUGGAUCCUGCCUCCUCUCGCGGAUUCUCUUUGUACCACUGUUCGCUGUUUCAAUCAACUGGACUUCUUUCAUUUUUCACAAAAGCAAGAUCUUUCUUCCUGCCUCAGGGCCUUCAAACUGUUCUUCCCUAUGCUGGAACAUUCUUUCCCACUCAGCUUUCUGAUCUGAGAUCAGAAGUCACUUCUCCAGGGACGCUCUCCCUGAUCUUCCAGACUAGCAUGGCUGCCCUUUUAUACAUCUUAAACUGUUUAGCAAAAAGAUAAAAACAAACAAAAAUCAGGAGCCUUUUCUAAUUUUCUUUUUCAUUGUAGCUGUUAUUCCUAAUUCGAAGUUGAAUCCUAAUAGGAAAGGCUCAUGCUAUUACUCAAUAGUUGCAGAAAAAUGUGUUAUAGCAAUAAAAGUGUUUUCAACAUCCACAUUCACUCCAAAAAAAGACCACUUCGAUUUCCUUAACUGAAUUCUUACUCCUCUUAAUAGAAUGUUACAUUCUCUUCCCACAGCAUUUGAUACUUAUUCCUGAUAAUACUUACCAUAGGUACAAUUAUAUGAUUAAGCAUGAAAUUUUUAUUUAUUUCUAGUUUCCUCUCUAGACUAUAUUUUUUGCAUGCGAGAUAAAACUUUGCCUAUUUCCUUACAUUGUGUUCUCACUGGGUAGCAUAGAGACUGUCACAUAAUAGGCAUUCCAUGCUCUUUGCUGAGUGAAUAAAUAAAUUUUAAAAGAUCAGUGCCAUUUCUAGUAAGAAAAAAACCCAAGAAAUAAAAGGCAUUAAAAUAAAAAGAAAAUAUAUGAUAAUUUUAGAAAGUUAGGAAAAAGAAAAGAAUAUUAUCCACAAUUCCAUUAGUCAAAUAUAUAUUUAGUUUUUUUGUUUACAUUUAAUGAAACAUAAUUUCUUCAUCACAAAAAUAUGCUACUUCUUCACUCACAAAAAAUGGGAAGGAAAAAAUGGGAAGACUGAGAGGGUAGGACUGGGGACCCAGCUGACAAAUGGAGGAUAGAAGGUGCUAUCACGUGGAAAGAA
rnacentral:lncRNA from 1 species